UGAGGAAUAUUGGUCAAUGGACGAGAGUCUGAACCAGCCAAGUAGCGUGCAGGAUGACGGCCCUAUGGGUUGUAAACUGCUUUUGUUUGGGAAUAAUCGACAUUACGUGUAAUGUUUUGCAUGUACCAUUCGAAUAAGGACCGGCUAAUUCCGUGCCAGCAGCCGCGGUAAUACGGAAGGUCCAGGCGUUAUCCGGAUUUAUUGGGUUUAAAGGGAGUGUAGGCGGUUGGUUAAGCGUGUUGUGAAAUGUAGAUGCUCAACAUCUGACUUGAAGCGCGAACUGGCUGACUUGAGUACAAAAAACGUAGGCGGAAUUCAUGGUGUAGCGGUGAAAUGCUUAGAUAUCAUGAAGAACUCCGAUUGCGAAGGCAGCUUACGGGAGUGUUACUGACGCUUAAGCUCGAAGGUGCGGGUAUCGAACAGG
rnacentral:rRNA from 1 species